rnacentral:lncRNA from 1 species
UAGAAUCUUGCUUGAACUGAAAUUGCUGUUGAUUCUACAGGUUGAAAUUCAAAAUUGAAAGCUAAUUCUUCUUCUUCGGUCAAAUCUGUUGCUUCUUCUUCAUUUUCUUCAAAAAUAAACAAGGAAGAAUGAAUUAUUGCUCGAUUUGCCAGCUCUGUUGAUUUUAUUUUUUGUUGAGGUUGAAUUGUAAAAUUGAAAUCUGUUGCUUCCUGUUCUGUGUAUGCAGAAGUCAUUGCUAAGUCCAAAAGUUUUGGUGCUGCAUUCUUGACUUGUGCAUCUGAUAUUUGUUGAAUUUUCUAUCUCUGAAAUUUCUGCUUCUAGAUUUUGGUUGAAUUGUCUACUUCUAGUUUAUCUAGAAUUGUUAGAUCCAGUGUGUCUAUUGAUGAUUUUGUUGCUGCAUUCUCUAAUUCUUUAUUCUCAUAAAUCGAGUAUGAAUUUUGGAAUUGCAGAACUGGAAUUGAUGAAUUUGCUAUUUCUGAAUUUGUUGAAAUAUUGAUGAUUGGGUGAGAAUCUGAUGCUGAUUUGGCUUGAAUCUAUUGAUUAGCGUUCAAGGUCGCACAAAUUUUGGUGCAAGUUGUUUGAAUUUCUUCAAGUAUCUUGGUACGUUCUUGAUAAUAUGAAUUUAAGCUUUGUAAAUUAGUUUGAAUUUAUCUCAAAUGGAAUCCGCAGAAUUACUAUGAGAGUUUAGUAUGGUGAGAAGAGAGAAUUAGAGAUAAUAAAAAAGAAUAGAAGAAAAAUCUUUAGAAGUAGGACAAAAGAAAAAAAAUAGAAUUUUUAAUUAUAUCAUACAUAUUUCACAUUAUUACAUCAUACUCUUAUUUAUAGUAUAAUUUUCAUUCUCUAGUUGGAUUAGCUCAAUACUAAUCCUAUCAAGAGCACACAACAAAAAUAGGUUGGGAAGCAACCAGUAAGUAAAAAGAGAGAGAAGAGGUUAAUUGAUAAAAAACAAAAACAAACAGAAAAAACAUUUUUUUUUAAAUUAAAAUUAUUUUUAAGGUUAAUUGAUUUUUUUUGAAAUAAUUUGAUGAUUUAAAUUUUAUUUUAGUCGUUACUGAGCUAUUAUGUAUGCUUGUUUCGUUAAUAAUAAACAUCAUCACUGUAUGAAUGUGGUGAUAGCUAGGUAAGGUUAUAUGAGCACCUUCGGUGUGCUCUUAUGGCUUUACCUGUGUUUUGCUACUGCAAAGUUUUAACCACCAUGAAAUAAAAGAUCUUCAAGUAUAUUAUGUUUUAAUUUCUUUGAAAUUAAUGAAAAUCAAACACUUC